UCCAUUAUUAUUAAUCUUACUAUUAACAACAUUACAACUUCCCCUAUGGAGGAAUCUUCAAACUCUGUAGACAUUUCCUGGCCUAAUACUGAAUUUAAAGGCAUCUAAACCUCUAAUGGCAAUUUCUCUGAUUAUCCAGUAGAGGAAAUUUUCUCUGUAAAUUUAUCCUGUCAAAAGGUAAAUACAAAACUCUAAAAAGCCAUACAUUACAAGAUUUGUAUUAAUUUUUUUCAGCUUAAGAGAAUGGCUACUUGUGUUAGGUAAUUUCAUGAUUUCUCAAAGGUUAUUUUCCCCCAGUUCAAACUGUGUAAAAUCAGGCAACACGAAUAAACUAUGCGAUAAAAUGCACUCAGUGCACCUCAAAAUAUUUCUUGGAGUCCUCUCAAAUCCAAAUCCUUACCUAACAAUCAGCUCGCUUAUAUUCCCAUUCAAAAAUAUUUAGUAAAUGCACUAAAAAUCUUGCAAAAAAAUUAUGAAAUAUUACUCUCAUAACGCCAAGAUUUUUUUUUUUUAAUUCCUAAAGUUACGGUUUUUCCUACGGAAAACAAUGUAGUUGUUUUUCUUUUGGACUCAACCGCUCCCAGUAAUAAAAGAUUUAAUUUUUUCUUUUAGCACACUAUACACACUGCUAUACACACACCUCACAAAAACUGUUCCCACUGUAGCUACUGAAACUGAAAUACAAUAAAGGGGAUGCACUUUAUACUUUAAGAAUGAACUUGCUUUCUAUUUGGAUCUUCACACUAUUUCAGUAUUCCUCAAUUUAGGAAAUACUAAAAAAUAAAAGUUUAAACUUUCUUCCCUAAAGUACCCUACAUAUUGAAAAGCAAACAGACCCAAUAGCCCCUGGGAUUCUUCAAGAACCACAAAGUCAGACUAAAAAUUUAUUACAUGCAGUACCAUAAAAUAAGUCAGUGGAGAUGCAGAGCUGGGUGACCCCUUCUCAGCCUUCUCAGGGCUUGUUGGGAAACUGCAAACGUAAAGGCAAAAGUGAAAAUACUAAUGACUCCUCAGCAAAAGAGCUAAAACUAAAGGGCUAAACAAGAGGUCUGCCCGUACACGGACGCCAAGUGAAAUCUAUCAGAAGAACAGAAAAGACCUACUACUAUUAACCUACAACUAUCCACGCCGCGCUGACGCAUAGCUCUCCAGCCCGCACGCGCCUGGGGCUCCGCCAGCAUAACCCGACACCUCGACGCCACCCACCCCCCAACUCUCCAUAUACCUGACAGCAGAAUUACGAACUCGGUGAAAAGAUUGUUUAUCUCCUCUGAGUUCCCUUUAAGGGACUGAUUUGCCAAUGACAGACCAUCCUGGAGAAAAGACAAAGUCAAAUGAACUCAGGCCCCACCAGGAUUGCCCUUGGCUGAUCUCUCCAGGAAGGGAAGCUGAUUAUACGAAAUGGGGACAAACGAGCUGAGCACACGGCGACUACCUUGAGCCAUCACUGCACUGCCCUAACAGCUUCAUAUACUCCUGGAAACAGUUUUCCUAGAAGACAGCCUUGAACUCCAAAUAGUCACUGCACUCAGUUUGUGCUCUGUGAAAGGACUCACUGACGUGCAUUCAAUUUUCUGACAUGCACCGAUCCUUCUGCCUUCAACAUGAAUAUCAAUAAUAAACAUGUGUAACA